AUUGAACGCUGGCGGCAUGCCUUACACAUGCAAGUCGAACGGCAGCAUGGAGAGCUUGCUCUCUGAUGGCGAGUGGCGAACGGGUGAGUAAUGCAUCGGAACGUACCGUGUAAUGGGGGAUAACGUAGCGAAAGUUACGCUAAUACCGCAUACGACCUGAGGGUGAAAGCAGGGGAUCGCAAGACCUUGCGUUAUACGAGCGGCCGAUGUCAGAUUAGCUAGUCGGUGAGGUAAAGGCUCACCAAGGCGACGAUCUGUAGCGGGUCUGAGAGGAUGAUCCGCCACACUGGGACUGAGACACGGCCCAGACUCCUACGGGAGGCAGCAGUGGGGAAUUUUGGACAAUGGGGGCAACCCUGAUUCAGCCAUGCCGCGUGAGUGAAGAAGGCCUUCGGGUUGUAAAGCUCUUUCGGCCGGGAAGAAAUCGCACAGGCUAAUACUCUGUGUGGAUGACGGUACCGGCAUAAGAAGCACCGGCUAACUACGUGCCAGCCGCCGCAGUAA
rnacentral:rRNA from 1 species